ACGAACGCUGGCGGCGUGCUUAACACAUGCAAGUCGAACGGUGAAGCGCCUUCCUUUUUGGUGGGUGUGGAUGAGUGGCGAACGGGUGAGUAACACGUGAGUAACCUGCCCCCUUCUUCUGGAUAACCGCAUGAAAGUGUGGCUAAUACGGGAUAUUCUGGGUCUGUCGCAUGAUGGGUCUGGGAAAGAUAUUGUUUCGGUGGGGGAUGGGCUCGCGGCCUAUCAGCUUGUUGGUGGGGUGAUGGCCUACCAAGGCGGUGACGGGUAGCCGGCCGGAGAGGGUGGACGGUCACACUGGGACUGAGACACGGCCCAGACUCCUACGGGAGGCAGCAGUGGGGAAUAUUGCACAAUGGGCGCAAGCCUGAUGCAGCGACGCCGCGGGAGGGAUGGAGGCCUUCGGGUUGUGAACCUCUUUCGCCAGUGAAGCAGGCCUGCCUCGUUUGUGGGUGGGUUGACGGUAGCUGGAUAAGAAGCGCCGGCUAACUACGUG
rnacentral:rRNA from 1 species